rnacentral:rRNA from 1 species
UACGUAGGGUGCAAGCGUUGUCCGGAAUUAUUGGGCGUAAAGAGCGCGUAGGCGGUUCGUUAAGUCGGCUGUGAAAACCUGAGGCUCAACCUCAGGCCUGCAGUCGAUACGGGCGGACUCGAGUUCGGCAGGGGAGACUGGAAUUCCUGGUGUAGCGGUGAAAUGCGCAGAUAUUAGGAGGAACACCGGUGGCGAAGGCGGGUCUCUGGGCCGAUACUGACGCUGAGGAGCGAAAGCGUGGGGAGCGAACAGG